rnacentral:rRNA from 1 species
UACGGAGGGUGCCAGCGUUAAUCGGAAUUACUGGGCGUAAAGCGCGCGUAGGCAGUUUGGCAAGUCGGAUGUGAAAGCCCCUGGGCUUAACCUGGGAAUUGCAUUCGAGACUGCUUGGCUAGAGUUUGGUAGAGGAAAGCGGAAUUCCGGGUGUAGCGGUGAAAUGCGUAGAUAUCCGGAGGAACACCAGUGGCGAAGGCGGCUUUCUGGGCCAAAACUGACGCUGAGGCGCGAAAGCGUGGGGAGCAAA